UACGAAGGGGGCUAGCGUUGCUCGGAAUCACUGGGCGUAAAGCGCACGUAGGCGGACUCUUAAGUCGGGGGUGAAAUCCCAGAGCUCAACUCUGGAACUGCCUUCGAUACUGGGAGUCUUGAGUGUGGUAGAGGUUGGUGGAACUGCGAGUGUAGAGGUGAAAUUCGUAGAUAUUCGCAAGAACACCAGUGGCGAAGGCGGCCAACUGGACCAUUACUGACGCUGAGGUGCGAAAGCGUGGGGAGCAAACAGG
rnacentral:rRNA from 1 species